rnacentral:rRNA from 1 species
UACAGAGGUCCCAAGCGUUGUUCGGAUUCAUUGGGCGUAAAGGGUGCGUAGGCGGCGCCGUAAGUCGGGUGUGAAAUCUCGGAGCUCAACUCCGAAACUGCAUUCGAUACUGCGGUGCUUGAGGACUGGAGAGGAGACUGGAAUUUACGGUGUAGCAGUGAAAUGCGUAGAGAUCGUAAGGAAGACCAGUGGCGAAGGCGGGUCUCUGGACAGUUCCUGACACUGAGGCACGAAGGCCAGGGGAGCAAACGGG